rnacentral:piRNA from 1 species
UAGAGCCUACAUCUGACUUAACGA